AUUGAACGCUGGCGGCAUGCUUUACACAUGCAAGUCGAACGGUAACAGGUUAAGCUGACGAGUGGCGAACGGGUGAGUAAUGCAUCGGAACGUGCCCGGUCGUGGGGGAUAACGCAGCGAAAGCUGCGCUAAUACCGCAUACGAUCUGAGGAUGAAAGCGGGGGACCGUAAGUCCUCGCGCGAUCGGAGCGGCCGAUGUCAGAUUAGGUAGUUGGUGGGGUAAAGGCUCACCAAGCCAACGAUCUGUAGCUGGUCUGAGAGGACGACCAGCCACACUGGGACUGAGACACGGCCCAGACUCCUACGGGAGGCAGCAGUGGGGAGUUUUGGACAAUGGGCGAAAGCCUGAUCCAGCAAUGCCGCGUGCAGGAAGAAGGCCUUCGGGUUGUAAACUGCUUUUGUACGGAGCGAAAAGGUCUCCUCUAAUACAGGGGGCUCAUGACGGUACCGUAAGAAUAAGCACCGGCUAACUACGUGCCAGCCGCCGCUGUAA
rnacentral:rRNA from 1 species